UCGACCAUCUUCAGCACCAGUCCCACACCCCCACUCUCUCUCCCUCUCUCUGCAUCUUUCAGACUGUCUCUCUCUCUCUCCGCACAUGCAGAAGAAUUGUUCUCCAUGAGUCGCAGCGCUUUACUCACGGUUGGAUUUCUGCGUUUUUGAUUCUCCACAAAGACUUCGUUUGAUAAGCCUUGAUUUUGAGAGAAGCUGAAAAAAAUGACUCAAAGCGCGUUGAUUUUUUUAUUAUGGCUUUUCGGCACGUCUCUCGCUGGCUUCCCCAAUCAGAUAAAUAUCGGUGGACUCUUCAUGCGUUCCACCGUUCAAGAACACAGCGCAUUCAGAUUCGCUGUGCAGCUCUACAACACCAAUCAGAACAUGACUGAGAAACCCUUCCAUCUCAAUUACAACGUAGAUAACCUGGAGUCCUCCAACAGCUUCUCUGUCACUCAUGCAUUUUGUUCGCAGUUCUCCAGAGGGGUGUAUGCCAUCUUUGGCUUUUAUGACAAGAAGUCUAUGAACACACUGACCUCCUUCUGUGGAGCCCUCCACACCUCCUUUGUCACACCCAGUUACCCCAUCGACUCAGAUGUGCAGUUUGUCAUCCAGAUGCGCCCUCCAUUGAAGGGUGCUGUCUUAAGUCUUCUUUCUCACUACAAGUGGGACAAGUUUGUCUACCUCUAUGACACAGACAGAGGAUUUUCCAUUCUUCAAGCCAUUAUGGAAGCAGCAGUAGCAAACAACUGGCAAGUUACAGCACGGUCGGUGGGAAGCAUAACGGACCCCCAAGAGUUCAGGCGCAUCAUUGAGGAAAUGGACAGAAGACAGGAGAAGCGCUACCUCAUUGACUGUGAAGUGGACAGAAUCAAUGUCAUUUUAGAGCAGGUUGUGACACUUGGAAAGAACAGUCGGGGCUACCAUUACAUUAUUGCCAAUCUGGGCUUCACCAACAUUAGCCUGGACAAGGUCUUCCUUGGUGGAGCAAACAUUAGUGGAUUUCAGAUAAUUAAUCCUGAAAACUUAGUUGUACAGCAGUUUCUCCAAAGAUGGGACCGUCUUGAUGAAAGAGAAUUUCCUGAAGCCAAAAACACACCUCUGAAGUAUACUUCAGCGCUGUCUUAUGAUGCUAUCCUGGUCAUUGCGGAGGCGUUUCGGUAUCUGAGACGACAACGAGUAGAUGUGUCCAGAAGAGGCAGUGCAGGUGAUUGUCUGGCCAACCCUGCUGUCCCUUGGAGUCAAGGCAUCGACAUUGAACGAGCUCUCAAAAUGGUUCAGGUACAGGGGAUGACUGGCAACAUUCAGUUUGACAGCUUUGGUCGCAGAACAAAUUACACCAUUGAUGUUUAUGAAAUGAAAACAGGAGGCCCAAGAAAAAUUGGAUACUGGAACGAGUUUGAGCGGUUUGUUAAUAUUAUGGAUCAGCAGUUCACCAACGAUUCCUCCUCAGUGGAAAACCGAACAAUUGUGGUCACUACUAUUAUGGAAGCACCAUAUGUGAUGUACAAGAAAAACCACAUGCAUCUGGAAGGCAAUGAAAAGUAUGAAGGCUACUGUGUUGAUUUAGCUUCUGAGAUUGCCAAACAUGUUGGAAUUAAGUACAGACUGUCCAUAGUCAUGGAUGGAAAAUAUGGUGCCCGUGACCCUGAAACCAAGUCUUGGAAUGGGAUGGUGGGUGAACUUGUCUAUGGGAGAGCCGAUAUAGCCGUCGCACCAUUAACAAUCACUCUUGUGCGAGAAGAAGUCAUUGACUUUUCUAAGCCCUUCAUGAGUUUGGGCAUCUCCAUUAUGAUCAAGAAACCUCAGAAGUCCAAGCCUGGUGUGUUCUCUUUCCUGGACCCUCUUGCAUAUGAGAUUUGGAUGUGUAUCGUUUUUGCCUACAUCGGCGUCAGUGUGGUGCUUUUCCUAGUGAGCCGCUUCAGCCCCUAUGAGUGGCAACUGGAUGAGACUGAUGAAGUCAAAGACCCCCAGACCCCUCCAGACCCGCCUAAUGACUUUGGGAUUUUUAACAGCCUAUGGUUCUCUCUUGGGGCCUUCAUGCAGCAGGGCUGUGAUAUCUCACCAAGGUCCUUAUCGGGCAGAAUAGUGGGAGGUGUCUGGUGGUUCUUCACCCUCAUCAUAAUCUCGUCCUACACAGCUAACCUAGCUGCUUUCCUCACAGUAGAGAGGAUGGUCUCUCCCAUAGAGAGUGCUGAAGAUCUAGCUAAACAAACAGAGAUUGCAUAUGGAACCCUGGACUCAGGAUCAACCAAAGAGUUUUUUAGGAGAUCAAAAAUAGCAGUGUAUGAAAAAAUGUGGUCAUACAUGAAAUCGGCUGAGCCAUCUGUCUUUGCCAAGACCACACCGGACGGCGUGGCACGGGUACGAAAGUCGAAGGGAAAGUUCGCAUUUCUUCUUGAAUCCACCAUGAAUGAAUACAUUGAGCAGAGGAAGCCCUGCGACACGAUGAAAGUGGGCGGCAAUCUGGACUCUAAGGGCUAUGGUGUGGCGACCCCCAAAGGCUCAGCAUUAAGAAAUGCUGUUAACCUGGCAGUUUUAAAACUGAAUGAGCAAGGCCUGUUGGACAAAUUGAAAAACAAAUGGUGGUACGACAAGGGAGAGUGCGGCAGCGGGGGAGGUGACUCCAAGAACUCCUGUAAACCUUGCAGUAUUGAAACUCAGUGAACAAGGCAUCUUAGCCAAGCUGAAAAACAAAUGGUGGUACGAUAAGGGUGAAUGUGGAACCAAGGACUCGGGAAGUAAGGACAAGACAAGUGCACUGAGCCUGAGCAAUGUUGCUGGUGUCUUCUAUAUUCUGGUUGGUGGACUAGGGCUUGCUAUGAUGGUGGCAUUGAUAGAGUUCUGUUACAAGUCACGUGCAGAAGCUAAACGGCUGAAACUUGAAAAAAAUGCCCAAAACUAUAAGCCAGCACCACCAGCCAACACCCAAAACUUUGCCACAUACAGAGAAGGCUACAACGUUUAUGGAACAGAGAGUGUUAAAAUCUAAUGAUGGGCAGCAUGGUGUUAUGAAAAAGACAAAGAUACCCUUCCAGAGACAGCUGGAUCUUCAUGAGGGGUCACUUACGCCCUACACUCUCUCCAUGCACAUCAUUCUCCAGCAUGCUAAUCUGAGACUGCGACUGUCGCAAGAUUUGGGAAUAAAUUGGAAUUCUUCAGUGCCUUACAGAAUAUUCAGAGUAUCACACUGAUGCAAACUCAUCACAGAAAAUUUGCAUCACUCCUGUCACACAAACCAACUGAAUGACAUCAUCAUAUAUAUAAACACAAACACACAUUAUAUAUAUAUAUAUAUAUAUAUAUAUAUAUAUAUAUAUAUAUAUAUAUAUAUAUAUAUAUAUAUAAU